UACAGCUCACUAUCCCUACAGCUGGACCCAUUUCCUGCCAAUGGUGAUGAUGUGACUUACAGCACUGUUGUCCCCAAGAGGAGGAACCAGCUAAAUGUACAGACCAAGCAACCCAAGCUCCAACCACUGAACAAUCCUCUUUCUCUCCAACUGCUGAGCCUGUUCAGACUGACAACACAGUCCAAGGACCUGAGAAGGUCAAGGAGAAGGACACCAUGAGACGAGGGAGAACAUUCUUCUACG